UACAGAGGUCUCAAGCGUUGUUCGGAUUCACUGGGCUUAAAGGGCGCGUAGGCGGCGGCUCAAGUCGGGGGUGAAAUCCUCUCGCUUAACGAGAGAAUUGCUUUCGAUACUGGGUCGCUGGAGGGAGAUAGGGGUGCGCGGAACUUCCGGUGGAGCGGUGAAAUGCGUAGAUAUCGGAAGGAACGCCGGUGGCGAAAGCGGCGCACUGGAUCUCUUCUGACGCUGAGGCGCGAAAGCCAGGGGAGCAAACGGG
rnacentral:rRNA from 1 species